ACGCUCGACACCUACUGGAGGCAGCAGUGGGGAAUAUUGCACAAUGGGGGAAACCCUGAUGCAGCGACGCCGCGUGGAGGAAGAAGGUCUUCGGAUUGUAAACUCCUGUUGUUGGGGAAAAAGAGGAUGGUACCCAACAAGGAAGUGACGGCUAACUACGUGCCNNGCGCGGUAGUAUGNGCGGCGUGNGAGAG
rnacentral:rRNA from 1 species